UUUAUAAAUGAACCCUUCACAAAACCAGAUCCAUGCGCAGUUUGCCCAAACCUUAACAUACCCCAUGGUUUAGAGGGAAUGGAAUGUCUCUCUUGUGAGAAGAGGAGUGUUGAUACAUCCUUUAAAUAGUCCAGCCCAUGCUUAGGAAUUAACGGUAGGAAUAAAUGCUUGGUCAAGAUUCAUUAAUAUUUGCUGAGAAACAGUCAGAGAAUCACCAACAAAAUCUC
rnacentral:lncRNA from 1 species